UUGCCCAGUCGAGGGGGAUAACAGUUGGAAACGACUGCUAAUACCGCAUACGCCCUACGGGGGAAAGCAGGGGACCUUCGGGCCUUGCGCGAUUGGAUAUGCCCAGGUGGGAUUAGCUAGUUGGUGAGGUAAUGGCUCACCAAGGCGACGAUCCCUAGCUGGUCUGAGAGGAUGAUCAGCCACACUGGAACUGAGACACGGUCCAGACUCCUACGGGAGGCAGCAGUGGGGAAUAUUGCACAAUGGGGGAAACCCUGAUGCAGCCAUGCCGCGUGUGUGAAGAAGGCCUUCGGGUUGUAAAGCACUUUCAGCGAGGAGGAAAGGUCAGUAGCUAAUAUCUGCUGGCUGUGACGUUACUCGCAAAAGAAGCACCGGCUAACUCCGUGCCAGCAGCCGCGGU
rnacentral:rRNA from 1 species